ensembl:misc_RNA Metazoa_SRP Metazoan signal recognition particle RNA
GCCAGGUGCAGUGGUAUAUAUCUGUAGUCCCAGCUACUCGGGAGGCUGAGACAGGAUUGCUUGAGUCCAGGAGUUCUGAGCUGUAGUAUUCUGUGCUGAUUGGAUGCCGGCACUAAGUUUGACAUCAAUAUGGUGACCUCCUAGGAGCAGGGGACCACCAGGUUCCCUAAGGAGGGGUGAACCAGCCCAGGUCAGAAAAGGAACAGGUCAAAACUGCUGUUAAUAAUUAGCAUAUUCACUGUUGCAUUGUGAAGACAGAAAAUGGGACAUUUAGGGAAAGCUGUACUUA